GAGACACCCCUAUGUAGCAGGAUUUGCUUCAGUGGGGCUUUAGUGCUCACUGAAUCUGCCCCUGAAGUGUGUUGCU
rnacentral:pre_miRNA from 1 species